AGGUUUAAGGCACUCUUUUACUGUGAAACUGCGAAUGGCUCAUUAAAUCAGUUAUCGUUUAUUUGAUAGUACCCUACUACAUGGAUACCUGUGGUAAUUCUAGAGCUAAUACAUGCGCAAAACCCCGACUUCGGAAGGGGUGUAUUUAUUAGAUAAAAAACCAAUGCCCUUCGGGGCUCCUUGGUGAUUCAUAAUAACUUCACGAAUCGCAUGGCCUUGCGCCGGCGAUGGUUCAUUCAAAUUUCUGCCCUAUCAACUUUCGAUGGUAGGAUAGUGGCCUACCAUGGUGGCAACGGGUAACGGGGAAUUAGGGUUCGAUUCCGGAGAGGGAGCCUGAGAAACGGCUACCACAUCCAAGGAAGGCAGCAGGCGCGCAAAUUACCCAAUCCCGAUACGGGGAGGUAGUGACAAUAAAUACUGAUACAGGGCUCUUUUGGGUCUUGUAAUUGGAAUGAGAACAAUCUAAAUCCCUUAACGAGGAACAAUUGGAGGGCAAGUCUGGUGCCAGCAGCCGCGGUAAUUCCAGCUCCAAUAGCGUAUAUUAAAGUUGUUGCAGUUAAAAAGCUCGUAGUUGAACCUUGGGCCCGUCCUGCCGGUCCGCCUCACCGCGAGUACUGGUCCGGAUGGGCCUUUCUUUUCUGGGGAAUCCCCAUGGCCUUCACUGGCUGUGGCGGA
rnacentral:rRNA from 1 species